UCAGAUUGAACGCUGGCGGCAGGCCUAACACAUGCAAGUCGAGCGGAAACGAGUUAUCUGAACCUUCGGGGAACGAUAACGGCGUCGAGCGGCGGACGGGUGAGUAAUGCCUAGGAAAUUGCCCUGAUGUGGGGGAUAACCAUUGGAAACGAUGGCUAAUACCGCAUGAUGCCUACGGGCCAAAGAGGGGGACCUUCGGGCCUCUCGCGUCAGGAUAUGCCUAGGUGGGAUUAGCUAGUUGGUGAGGUAAGGGCUCACCAAGGCGACGAUCCCUAGCUGGUCUGAGAGGAUGAUCAGCCACACUGGAACUGAGACACGGUCCAGACUCCUACGGGAGGCAGCAGUGGGGAAUAUUGCACAAUGGGCGCAAGCCUGAUGCAGCCAUGCCGCGUGUGUGAAGAAGGCCUUCGGGUUGUAAAGCACUUUCAGUCGUGAGGAAGGUAGUGUAGUUAAUAGCUGCAUUAUUUGACGUUAGCGACAGAAGAAGCACCGGCUAACUCCGUGCCAGCAGCCGCGGUAAUACGGAGGGUGCGAGCGUUAAUCGGAAUUACUGGGCGUAAAGCGCAUGCAGGUGGUUUGUUUAAGUCCAGAAUGUGAAAGCCCGGGGCUCAACCUCGGAAUAGCAUUUGAAACUGGCAGACUAGAGUACUGUAGAGGGGGGUAGAAUUUCAGGUGUAGCGGUGAAAUGCGUAGAGAUCUGAAGGAAUACCGGUGGCGAAGGCGGCCCCCUGGACAGAUACUGACACUCAGAUGCGAAAGCGUGGGGAGCAAACAGGAUUAGAUACCCUGGUAGUCCACGCCGUAAACGAUGUCUACUUGGAGGUUGUGGCCUUGAGCCGUGGCUUUCGGAGCUAACGCGUUAAGUAGACCGCCUGGGGAGUACGGUCGCAAGAUUAAAACUCAAAUGAAUUGACGGGGGCCCGCACAAGCGGUGGAGCAUGUGGUUUAAUUCGAUGCAACGCGAAGAACCUUACCUACUCUUGACAUCCAGAGAACUUUCCAGAGAUGGAUUGGUGCCUUCGGGAACUCUGAGACAGGUGCUGCAUGGCUGUCGUCAGCUCGUGUUGUGAAAUGUUGGGUUAAGUCCCGCAACGAGCGCAACCCUUAUCCUUGUUUGCCAGCGAGUAAUGUCGGGAACUCCAGGGAGACUGCCGGUGAUAAACCGGAGGAAGGUGGGGACGACGUCAAGUCAUCAUGGCCCUUACGAGUAGGGCUACACACGUGCUACAAUGGCGCAUACAGAGGGCGGCCAACUUGCGAAAGUGAGCGAAUCCCAAAAAGUGCGUCGUAAUCCGGAUUGGAGUCUGCAACUCGACUCCAUGAAGUCGGAAUCGCUAGUAAUCGUGGAUCAGAAUGCCACGGUGAAUACGUUCCCGGGCCUUGUACACACCGCCCGUCACACCAUGGGGAGUGGGCUGCAAAAGAAGUAGGUAGUUUAACCUUCGGGGGGGACGCUUACCACUUUGUGGUUCAUGACUGGGGGUGAA
rnacentral:rRNA from 1 species